ACUUAAAUUGAAGAGUUUGAUCAUGGCUCAGAUUGAACGCUGGCGGCAGGCCUAACACAUGCAAGUCGAGCGGUAGCACAGAGAGCUUGCUCUCGGGUGACGAGCGGCGGACGGGUGAGUAAUGUCUGGGAAACUGCCUGAUGGAGGGGGAUAACUACUGGAAACGGUAGCUAAUACCGCAUAACGUCGCAAGACCAAAGUGGGGGACCUUCGGGCCUCAUGCCAUCAGAUGUGCCCAGAUGGGAUUAGCUAGUAGGUGGGGUAACGGCUCACCUAGGCGACGAUCCCUAGCUGGUCUGAGAGGAUGACCAG
rnacentral:rRNA from 1 species